rnacentral:lncRNA from 8 species
ACUUGGACGCGCUCUCACGGUAAACGAAAAGCCAAUAGGGGCUCAGAGAGAGACCAGAGAGACAUUCCCCCCCCUUCACUGAUACAGCUGACAGAACUACCGGGGGACAAAGUGAACAUACGCUGGGAGACUAUUUCACUAGACGAACAGCCUGAAAGAGGUUCAACAACAUCUGGAGCACCUGAGCUGAGUGACUUGGAGGGCCAGAGAAAAGUGGUUGAGACGCUCCUGAACUGCGCUGAGUGACUUGGAGGGCCAGAGAAAAGUGGUUGAGACGCUCCUGAACUGCGCUGAGUGACUUGGAGGGCCAGAGAAACGAAGUUGAGACAACAGAGAGGCCCAAAACGUAGAGGCUUGUACUGUGAGUACUGUAACCUCUUGGUUGGACUUUUCCAUUAUGGCUAGUCUGUAUGGUGUAUGUAUGCUAACAUGCUAACGUUGUGGCCUGUCUNNNNNNNNNNNNNNNNNNNNAUAGCGGAAGCUUUUCUGCCAGCUAACACGGAGAAGAAAGACUAGUGUCUGUGUGUAUCAGAAAGCUCCUCUUGCCAGCUAACACUGAGAAGAAAGACUAGUGUCUGUGUGUAUCGGAAAGCUUUUCUGCCAGCUAACACGGAGAAGAAAGACUAGUGUCUGUGUGUAUCGGAAAGCUUUUCUGCCAGCUAACACGGAGAAGAAAGACUAGUGUCUGUGUGUAUCGGAAAGCUUUUCUGCCAGCUAACACGGAGAAGAAAGACUAGUGUCUGUGUGUAUCAGAAAGCUCCUCUUGCC